AGCGAACGCUGGCGGCAGGCCUAACACAUGCAAGUCGAACGGACCCUUCGGGGUUAGUGGCGGACGGGUGAGUAACACGUGGGAACGUGCCUUUAGGUUCGGAAUAGCCCUGGAAACGGGUGGUAAUGCCGAAUGUGCCCUUUGGGGGAAAGAUUUAUCGCCUUUAGAGCGGCCCGCGUCUGAUUAGCUUGUUGGUGGGGUAAUGGCCCACCAAGGCUACGAUCAGUAGCUGGUCUGAGAGGAGGACCAGCCACAUUGGGACUGAGACACGGCCCAAACUCCUACGGGAGGCAGCAGUGGGGAAUCUUGCGCAAUGGGCGAAAGCCUGACGCAGCCAUGCCGCGUGUAUGAUGAAGGUCUUAGGAUUGUAAAAUACUUUCACCGGUGAAGAUAAUGACUGUAGCCGGAGAAGAAGCCCCGGCUAACUUCGUGCCAGCAGCCGCGGUAAUACGAAGGGGGCGUAGCGUUGCUCGGAAUUACUGGGCGUAAAGGGAGCGUAGGCGGACAUUUAAGUCAGGGGUG
rnacentral:rRNA from 1 species